rnacentral:rRNA from 1 species
ANCNGAGGAAAAGAACCAACCAGGGAUUGCCUUAGUAACGGCGAGUGAAGCGGCAAUAGCUCAAAUUUGAAAUCUGGCGCUUGCGUCCGAGUUGUAAUUUGUAGAGGAUGAUUUUGGUUAGGUACCUUUCGAGUUCCUUGGAACAGGACGCCUUAGAGGGUGAGAGCCCCGUACGAUUGGAUGCCGAGCCUCUGUAAAUCUCCUUCGACGAGUCGAGUAGUUUGGGAAUGCUGCUCUAAAUGGGAGGUAAAUUUCUUCUAAAGCUAAAUACCGGCCAGAGACCGAUAGCGCACAAGUAGAGUGAUCGAAAGAUGAAAAGCACUUUGAAAAGAGGGUUAAAUAGCACGUGAAAUUGUUGAAAGGGAAGGAUUUAUGACCAGACUUUUUCUAGGAGAAUCAUCCGGUGUUCUCACCGGUGCACUUCUUUUAGUUUAGGCCAGCAUCGACUUUCGGCGGUGGAUAAAAGCUUUAGGAAUGUGGCUUCCCUCGGGAAGUGUUAUAGCCUAUUGUAUAAUACACUGCUGGGGGUCGAGGUACGCGCUUCUGCAAGGAUGCUGGCGUAAUGGUUAUCAAUCACCCGUCUUGAAACACGGACCAAGGAGUCGAACAUUUGUGCGAGUGUUUGGGUGUUAAACCCUCACGCGUAAUGAAAGUGAACGGAGGUGAGAGCCCUUACGGGUGCAUCAUCGACCGAUCCUGAUGUUUUCGGAUGGAUUUGAGUAAGAGCAUAAAUGUUCGGACCCGAAAGAUGGUGAACUAUGCGUGGAUAGGGUGAAGCCAGAGGAAACUCUGGUGGAGGCUCGCAGCGGUUCUGACGUGCAAAUCGAUCGUCAAAUCUGCGCAUGGGGGCGAAAGACUAAUCGAAGCAUCUAGUUGCUU